CUCCAAAAAAAUAGUUAAAGAUGAUUUGAGUGUAUUUGAAAUACCAUAUACAACAAAUAAAGACUAUGACGAUGUGAUGAUGAUAAACUCGGUUGGAGAUUUAUAUCCUGUACCAGAUUCUGACACAUAUUACAGUAAAUUAAACAACAAAAAAAGUACGUUUAAUUUUUCUGAUGAUGAAAAUAAUACAGAAAACGUACAAAAUUUAUGUAAAACGUAUACUAGCGAAACUUUUAAUUUGGAUGAAUGGGUAAAUGGUAAUAAUAGCCACAAUGAUAACAGUGACAAUAAUAAGAUUAGUGGAAACAGUGCCAACAAUAAUAGUAAUAGUAUAUAUAACUGGAAAGUUAUAAAUGAGUUUGGUAUAAGCAGAUUAAUAUAUUCCAACAAUUACAAAGACAUGAAAAUUGAAUCAGCACUAGUUUAUAAAUUAAGUUCAUGUAAUUCUUAUAAAUUAUCGUCCUAUAUAAAAUUAGAAAAUAACAGUGAGGCUGGUUUAUUAUUUAGAUAUAACAAUUCAAAUAAUAUGUAUAUAUUAACAAUAUCAGUCGACACGAAAAAUAUAGUACUAAAAAAAUAUCAAAAUAAUAAAAAAACUAUUAUUAAAAGUACAUAUAUACCAGCAAUUAAUACUUUUCGAAGACAUCAUUUAGUGAUAGAUGACCAAGGACAAACAGGAAUUAUUGGUAUAUUUCUUGACGAUGAAAAUAUAUUUUCUAUAAAUAAUCAAAAUAAUUACAAGUCAGGAUAUGUAGGAUUUUUUGUCGAAUAUGGAUAUGCAAUAUAUGAUACGUUAAAAAUUGAGCCAACUAAGCCGACUAAGACAAACACAUCAUAAAACUGUUGUAAAUUGAAAAAAAAGCAACAAAAUGCAAGGGGGCGAAAUGAAAUGCAAGGGGGCGAAAUGAAAUGCAAAGGGGCGAAAUGAAAUGCAAGGACGCAAAACAAAAUGCAAAGAGGUAAAACGAAAUGCAAAAAUAAAAAACGAAAUUCAUCUUCUCUGUAUAACA
rnacentral:lncRNA from 1 species